rnacentral:rRNA from 1 species
UGGAUCCAGACUUUGAUUCUGGCUCAGGAUGAACGCUGGCGGCGUGCCUAACACAUGCAAGUCGAGCGAAGCAAUUUUUCGGAAGCUUACGGAUGGAAGAGAGAUUGACUGAGCGGCGGACGGGUGAGUAACGCGUGGGUAACCUGCCUCAUACAGGGGGAUAACAGUUAGAAAUGACUGCUAAAACCGCAUAAGCGCACAAGGACCGCAUGGUCCGGUGUGAAAAACUCCGGUGGUAUGAGAUGGACCCGCGUCUGAUUAGUUAGUUGGCGGGGUAACGGCCCACCAAGGCGACGAUCAGUAGCCGACCUGAGAGGGUGACCGGCCACAUUGGGACUGAGACACGGCCCAAACUCCUACGGGAGGCAGCAGUGGGGAAUAUUGCACAAUGGGGGAAACCCUGAUGCAGCGACGCCGCGUGAGUGAAGAAGUAUUUCGGUAUGUAAAGCUCUAUCAGCAGGGAAGAAGACGACGGUACCUGACUAAGAAGCCCCGGCUAACUACGUGCCAGCAGCCGCGGUAAUACGUAGGGGGCAAGCGUUAUCCGGAUUUACUGGGUGUAAAGGGAGCGUAGACGGCGGAGCAAGUCUGAAGUGAAAGCCCCGGGCUUAACCCGGGAACUGCUUUGGAAACUGUACUGCUAGAGUGCUGGAGAGGUAAGCGGAAUUCCUAGUGUAGCGGUGAAAUGCGUAGAUAUUAGGAGGAACACCAGUGGCGAAGGCGGCUUACUGGACAGUCACUGACGUUGAGGCUCGAAAGCGUGGGGAGCAAACAGGAUUAGAUACCCUGGUAGUCCUCGCCGUGAACGAUGAAUACUAGGUGUUGGGGAGCAAAGCUACCCGGUGCCGUCGCAAACGCAGUAAGUAUUCCACCUGGGGAGUACGUUCGCAAGAAUGCAACUCAAAGGAAUUGACGGA